CGGCAGGUCUUACACGGCCAGCUCCUACUGAACUCCCCCAGGGUCGGAAGACAGCAAGGGUAGGUGGUUGUAGCGGCGCGAUGUAAUAAGCCUGCCAUUU
rnacentral:SRP_RNA from 25 species